UACGGAGGAUGCGAGCGUUAUCCGGAUUUAUUGGGUUUAAAGGGUGCGUAGGCGGACGCUUAAGUCAGCGGUAAAAUUGCGGGGCUCAACCUCGUCGAGCCGUUGAAACUGGGUGCCUUGAGUGGGCGAGAAGUACGCGGAAUGCGUGGUGUAGCGGUGAAAUGCUUAGAGAUCAUACAGAACACCGAUUGCGAAGGCAGCUUACCAAACUAUAUCUGACGUUGAGGCACGAAAGCGUGGGUAGCAAACAGG
rnacentral:rRNA from 1 species